rnacentral:lncRNA from 1 species
CUGUGACUGCACCAGAAUAACAACUUGAUUUUGGUGGUUUCAAACCCAAAUUCGUAGGGAAGUGAUUCAACAGCUCAUGUGACUAACCAAACAACUUUGCUUGAUGAUUUUAAGCAUGUUCAAACUCUUAAACAACUCAGAAACUGAUUGUAACUCAAAAUCACUGGUUCACUUCCAUUUUUAACCAAAAAAGUGAUGGUUUAAAAGGCUAAUCUGCAUAUAGGUUCAUUUUUGACCAAAUGAACAGUGCUAGAAACUUUCAAACAUCAAUUUAGACUUGCUCAAGCUUUCCAAAUGCAUAGAAACAGCAAGAUUCGAAAAUCACCCUUGCUAUAGCCAAUUUAUGCAGCAAAAAGCACUAAGAAACCACUCAAAAUUAGUUUUAUGGAAUAAAAAAAAACUGGACAACAAUGAAAUUGACUCAAAGAAGUGUAAGUGCACUGAACUAAGCUUGAAUUAAGGUGCUUAGCAUGACCAAACUCAGAUUAUACAAUUCAAUUCAAUUGGCACGGUGAAAAACCAUAUUUCUUAAACUGAAACAGUGGAAUUCUUAAGGAUUUGAAGCAACCAAGCUAUGCAUAUUGCAUUUCAUUGCUUAUUCUGGUUUGCUACACCUUAAGACACAUUCAACAACAUUAAACAAUGUUGUACCACUGAAAAACAAAUUCACGAAUUUAAACCAGAUUUGACAUUUUAAUGCAGAUUUUGAAACCAAAAUCAAGUUCUAAUGCUUUAGCUCAUAUCACCAAGGCUAGAACAUGUUCUCAUUGCCUCAUAUGGUUGAUAUAUAGCUACACUUGCAUCUGAACUCACUUAAAAUCGAAAAACCAAGCUGAAACAAAUUAAACUUGACUAAAACAGAAACAAAACUGCAUCAACACAUGCACAUGACUUAGACAAUACGGAAAUUGGAAAUUGAAACUGGAAAUGACUCAAACAAACAACAUUCACCGUUUAAAAUGAAAGAUCAACAUGAAAACACAAUGGAAACAAGAAUUCAGUGACUGGCAAUGCAAUUAGGCACCAAACAGAAAUGAAAUAAACACCUAAAACAGAAUCUGGAAAAAAAAAAACAUGACAAGAUAAUCAACUAAAGCAGAAUUGAAAUGGAAAAUGGAGGAAUUAGCUUAGCUCCUGGUGCGUGGAUGACCUAAGCUCUGGAUACCACUUGAUGGAGACCAAAUCCAGCUUGAAUCACGCAAUUAAGAGCUCCAAGCCAGAAGAAACCAGUGAGACAGAGGUUGCAGCGAAAAAUGAAUUGAUGAUGCAGUGUUCAAUGUGUUUUAAUGGAGGAGAUGUGUAUGGGUGAGAUCUCAAAGCUCAGAAGGCCUUCCUAAGGUGGAAGGAAGCUUGAGAAAGGGAGAAGAAGUAGAAGAACAAGGUGACUUCAGAGCACAAGAAGCUGGGAAAUUAAUUCUGCAGCAUAACAUUGCAAGCUCAAAAGUGUUNNN